rnacentral:rRNA from 1 species
GGCUCGUAGCGUCGUCGCUCGUCGUAGUCGCUACUGAUCUCGUGUCAGCACUGAGGCAGUAGAACUGAUCUGUACGUGAUGCCAAUCAGAGAACCGAUGCAGCAGUUUGCGUACGACUAGACGUACCUCGACUACGACUAGUCUGUAGUCAUGCGUACGUCGAACUAGUUCGACAUCACGAUCGCGCACUACGCAUCAGUAUCGCUGGAGUACGCGAGCUACUCGAUGUAUGACUGGCGACAGCGCGAGCAUGCGAUAUCGAUGCACGCGAGACUACAGCUGACAUGUCUCGAUCGCGUAGAGAUACGUUGCUUGAGCGGAUCACAGAUGUGCAUGUGUCGUCAGCUCGUGUCGUGAGAUGUGAUGAGUCCGCACGAGCGCACCUCGUCAUGUGCAGCACGUAUGAUAGACUCAUGAGAGACUGCCGCAGUCACUCGAGGAAGGUGGUACGACGUCAUAUCAUCAUGCACCUUAUGUCUUGGCUUCACGCAUGCUACAAUGGCCGGUACAAUGGGUUGCGAUACUGUGAGGUGGAGCUAAUCCCAUAAAGCCGGUCUCAGUUCGGAUUGGGUCUGCAACUCGACCCCAUGAAGUCGGAGUCGCUAGUAAUCGCAGAUCAGCAACGCUGCGGUAAAUACGUUCCCGGGCCUUGUACACACCGCCCCUCCCUCUCGAAGUCUGUAACACCGUAAACACUGACCUGUCCGCGUGUCUUGCAAGCGUGAAGC